AGUCGUUUCUUCUAUAAUGCAUCGCGGGAAACAAUCAAAACGACAUUUUGGAGCGAGUCCAGUUUAUACGAGCGACGAAUAGCCGAUCGUUUUCUGCUUACGUUUGAGUUUGGACGAUUCUCGGUUUUUUUCGCAUCAUUGGGAUCGAAAAUGUCGAGAUACGAAGGAUUUAAUCGCCCUCUAUAAAUGUUUUAUUGCGUAAAUGGCGACCAGGAUGAGACCGAUUGAAACUUAAUGGUGUAUGAGGAAGAAGGUCAUGGGGAAUGUCGCUAGAUAUGUUUAUAAAAAGUGCAGAAAUUAUUUAAUACAAAAUAAGAUACUCUGAAUGACAUAAAUGUCCUAUUCUGCAAGACACGUGGCUGUACAGCCACUAAAAACUGUACUUUUAAACAGGUCCUGAAGAAAAAACGGAAAUAAUGUUAUAAUUUAAAAAAUAUUUUUGAUAACAGUGAUAGUAAUUGCCCAACAGGCCAAAGAAGAUGUUUCUGAAACAAUUUCUAAGGAUCGGUAGAGUUGGUUGGAGCCGCGACACUGACCUUGGAUUCGUGGCCAACACUGUAGAAGUUCCUCUACGUUCCUCAACGAUAAGCAUCCACGAGCAUUUUCCAUUGGCGACAGGAAUGGGCAAAAUCUUAUUCGAAUAAUCAAUUUAUUAUAGUUCAGAACUAGUGAUUAUCCUUCGUAAUAUGGAAAGCAUAUAAUAAAUAUAAUUUUAUUAUUUCA